GCGGUUUUUCUAGAUGUCCUUUGUUCGCCUAAUUUCAUGCCCUCCUGCCACCUCAGGCUUUUGGAGAGGAAACAAAGACUAGUC
rnacentral:telomerase_RNA from 1 species